CCCUUAGAUGUUCUGGGCUGCACGCGCGCUACACUGAUGCAUGCAACGAGUUUUCGACCUUGCCUGAAAAGGUUGGGUAAUCUGUUUAACAUGUGUCGUGAUGGGGAUAGACCAUUGCAAUUAUUGAUCUUCAACGAGGAAUUCCUAGUAAGCGCGAGUCAUCAGCUCGUGCUGAUUAUGUCCCUGCCCUUUGUACACACCGCCCGUCGCUCCUACCGAUUGAGUGGUCCGGUGAGGCUUUGGGAUCUGGGCGGAAAGAGCGUUUCGCUGUUUCUGCCCGGAAAACUCAGUCGAACCUUAUCAUUUAGAGGAAGGAGAAGUCGUAACA
rnacentral:rRNA from 1 species